UUACUCAAAGCCAGGGGCAGAGGUGCAGCUUGGCAAGAGGGUUUGCCCUGUCUCACAUUUCACCAUGUAUGUGCUUAAUGAUUUAUCCAGUUAAAUGCAGAUUUCCAUUACUGUUUGUGAAUAAGGUUGAUAACGUACGUAUUCAACGUAAAAGUUACAUCGAAGGGUCAAACUGUUUCAAUACAAUUGCUAGGUUAACAAAAGAUGAGAGAAGCACCGCUGAUUUUGAGAAAAAUUUGAUGGGACCAGUGACGACUGAUUUACUAUUGAAUCAUUAAAAGAAGGGGUAAAGGUCUUCGGAGUAACAGGAUGAUCAGCAAGGUCAAGCAAAAUGUAGACCAAAUCUGACUCAUGGAGAGAGAGAGCCACGAAGAAUUCUUUUGUGACCUUAGCAGCAACAGAAUAUAACUGGCAUGGAACUGGCAGAGCAAAAGCUGCUGGCAGUAGGAAGAGGAAGACAGACACAGCCGGUACGUGAAGGUCCAGUAAAUAUUGAAAAGAGCAAUACUUCUAUGCUGAACACACAUUUACACUUCAGUUUUUUAAUUAUUCCUAUAAUUAUAUGUGAAUAACAUAAGCCUGCACCUGAGAGAUAUUAAUAAGCUAACCAUACG